UACGGGGGGAGCAAGCGUUGUUCGGAUUUACUGGGCGUAAAGGGCGCGUAGGCGGUCAGCACAAGACAGUUGUGAAAUCCCCGGGCUUAACCUGGGAACCGCAUUUGUGACUGCAUAGCUGGAGUACGGCAGAGGGGGAUGGAAUUCCGCGUGUAGCAGUGAAAUGCGUAGAUAUGCGGAGGAACACCGAUGGCGAAGGCAGUCCCCUGGGCCUGUACUGACGCUCAUGCACGAAAGCGUGGGGAGCAAACAGG
rnacentral:rRNA from 1 species